rnacentral:rRNA from 1 species
GUUUGAUCCUGGCUCGGACGAACGCUGGCGGCGUGCCUAACACAUGCAAGUCGAGCGGGAUCCAACUAGUAGCAAUACUGGGGAAGAUCUAGCGGCGAACGGGUGAGUAACACGUGAGGAACCUGCCCCGAAGUCUGGGAUAACCCGAGGAAACUCGAGCUAAUACCGGAUGUCCUCCUCUGGUCGCAUGGCCGGUUGAGGAAAGAUUCAUCGCUUCGGGAGGGCCUCGCGGCCUAUCAGCUAGUUGGUGGGGUAACGGCCCACCAAGGCAUCGACGGGUAGCUGGUCUGAGAGGACGAUCAGCCACACUGGGACUGAGACACGGCCCAGACUCCUACGGGAGGCAGCAGUGGGGAAUCUUGCGCAAUGGGCGAAAGCCUGACGCAGCAACGCCGCGUGCGGGAUGAAGGCCUUCGGGUUGUAAACCGCUUUCAGGAGGGACGAAAUUGACGGUACCUUCAGAAGAAGCCCCGGCCAACUACGUGCCAGCAGCCGCGGUAACACGUAGGGGGCAAGCGUUGUCCGGAUUUAUUGGGCGUAAAGAGCUCGUAGGCGGCUUAGUAAGUCGGGUGUGAAACCUCCAGGCUCAACCUGGAGACGCCACCCGAUACUGCUGUGGCUAGAGUCCGGUAGGGGAGCG